AGAAAAGAAAAGAAAAAGAAAAAAGAAAAAGAAUUGGACCAGCAAACAGCUGAAGUACGAUUGAAAUUACAUCGGUUCCCCCUCAAACUGUGAAGCACUUUAUAGUCCAUAAACUAAGCAUGCAGAGACUUCCUGAAGAUCGAGGAUGGUUUAGUGUUGAUCUGGCUGUAUUUCAGGGACAAGAGAUGCAAAAAAACUUCCAUGCUGUUCCGCCAUCUUGGCCCCUUCUAAUUUAGCAUUUUAAAGGAUGCUCAUUGGGUUGACUUGGCAUGACUCUGGUGGGAUGUAGAUGAAGUCUUCAUUCAGAAGGUUAAAAUAGUGUCUUGGAUGGGAAGUUUGAAUUAUGUAACAAACAAUGUCAGGUUUUCAGAAUCUUCUGCAAAAACCUGCUGCUGGGACCCUGAGAAGAAAGGGACACUCAAACACAGAGAAGAAUCAGCUCCUGUUGAAUUUCCAGAAAGUCAGUCACUGUCCUCCAUCACAAAGACUGAAGGAGGUGCUCCUUUCAUUUUGUAAUUCUCCUUUGCCUCAGGGUAAUAUUUGGCAUAUGCUUGGAUGACCGAUUGAUUCUUCUGCUUCACAUGGACUGAAAUGAGCUCAGUUUAUGGUGUUCAGCUGGCAAUUUGACUGGUCUGCAGGAUCCUAGAUAGCUUCACUCACAUGACUGAAACAUUGGUAAGGCUGGAUUUGGCUAACCCCAUCUCACAUAGAAGCUGGGCUCAGUCAGGCCCUUCUCUCUGCAUGUAGUCUCAAAGCCUGUCCACGAGGUCUCUCCGGAAGGUUGCCAAACAUCUUACCUAUCAUCCAAUGGCUUCAAAAGGCAAUGUUCCAAGGGAUAGGAAAUGAAUGCUUCCAUUUUUUUAAGCCCAAGUCUUGGAAAUUGGCAGUGUCAUUGUUGCCAUAUUUUAUUAGUUAAAGCACUAACAGAGUCUCUACUCAGAUUUAGGUGGAAAGAACAUAGACACCAUUUCUUAAUAAGGAAAGCAUCAAAGUAUUUGUGGCCCUAUUUAAUCUGCCACAUAAAGAAAGUUAACAGUGAAGCCAAGAGUUGAACCCAUAUCUCCUGCAUCAGAUGCAUGCAUGUGUCAUUAUAGCAUUCAUUCAUUCAUUCAUGAUUCAACAAACAUUUCUGGACUACCCCAUUCCACUAGGCAUCCUAUUAGAUGCUAGGACUAGAUAUAAACAUUAAAAAUAUAUAAACACUAUUCUGAGUUAGCCCACAGUUUAACAAAGUCAGCAGAUAUGUUUACAGAUCAUGCUAUAUGCUAAUAGAGAAGUGUGCCAAAUGCUGGGGGAACACAGAAGAGGGAGGAAAUAUCUGCAGUGGGGAAGAGAGUGUAUCAGGAGGGCUUCCCAGUGAAAUGAUCUUAGAGUGAGUUUUAAAAGCUGAAGAGAAUUUGUUGAGGAAACAAUGAAAGACUUUCUAUGCAUAGGCCAAGGGGAGGCAGGGUGAAAGAGUGCGGUAUGUUUGAAUUCAUUGAAUUCACAUGGUUGCUACAGAGGACAUGAGAAACACAAACCACUAAGAAACUAUUAAAUGUUUUUUCCUAAGGCAAUUAGAGAGAUAUAAGGAGAAAGUUAUUGGAGACUUCAACUCAAUAUAUUUCUACUUGAUGAAUCCAAGAGUUGGGACUCCAAAGCUUUUCUUUCUGUGUUCCCAUAUGCAACCCUCCCACCCCCAUUUCUUCAUUAAAUCAUGGCAGGAGGAGAAGAAAAUAGGUCAUUUAGUGUUCUAUAUUUACAUCCAGCAUAUAAACUUGUCUUUCAGCAAGUAUACAAGUCUGGUACGACUAUAUGUGAGAAAUAUUAAUCAUGUCUUUUCACAUGGUUAUUUGAAAACUACACAUUGAGCCUGGCCCCAGUACUUGCUGGAGUAGAGAUUGAUGUGGUACAACUAAGACGUUAUUUUACUUGGCAUCAGACUCCAGCACACUAAGUCAGGGUCACUAGUAAGUGGUCCAUUCUACUAACUAUCCUCUAUGAUGCCUUUGUGAAAAUUAGAAAAAGCUACCCCUUCUGGGCAGAUAUAGCCCUACAUCAGGUUUCAGUGACUCAGGAAGUAGAGUAAGGUCUGAAUUUUAGUUGCCACUUGUUUCCUGGCUUGAGCACCUUUGUGACAUAUACAAGAUGUGAAAUUCUAUGUUCUGGCCUUGCCUGAUUAUUGGUAUUCCAUUGUUAAAUUCAGAAUAAAGCCUGUGGACACAGACCAGAGAAGCUAGUUUCUGUUCCCUUAUCUCCACAUCCCUUGACUCUAAUGUAUCUUGUGACUUACUGUUCAAACACUAAGCAAUCCUCCUCCUCCUCUGUGCUUAAUUUCCUCUCUGAAAGCUCCAAGGACUAUUCCUUCCCACCCUGGAAUACAUAGCCUCAUUUAUCAGGAAUAAGUUUGGCAAGCAUAAUAUUCUAUCCAUGCUUUCACCUGCCUCAGGAAAAUAGCUUUUAAAGGUUUGUUUUUUUUUUCAUAGCACAAACCACUUUGAAACAUUAAUACCAAGAAUAAAGGGAAAGAGAGAGAGAGAGAAAAAAAAAAAACACUGCCUAUAACCUUGUCUCCUAUCAGAAAAAUCAUUUCCAUUUCUCCACAUUACCUUGGUGACCAUUAUCUCCAAGUUUCUAGGUUCCAAACUCCAUCAACAUGUAUGCCAUUUCUUUUCAUUGUUUUAAUGAGAGAAAACAUUUCAUUUUCUGUAUUUUUUACUAAGUGGUAUUUCCCAGGAACUUUUCAUGUUUCACUUAUGCAUAUAUUCAACAAAUAUUUAGGUAGUUCCUAGAAUUUGCCAGACUCUAGCAAAUUUUAGAUGCUGAGAAUUCAGUAGUGAAAACGACAAAGCCCUUACUCUAUGGACUUAAUUAUAGUGAGAGAGACAUACAAUGAACAAUACACACAUAGUAAAAUAUCAGGUUCUAUAAAGAAAAACAAAGUAAGGCAAGGGACUAGAGAAUAAUGUUGUAGAGAAUGCUGGUUUUAGAAAAUAUCUCUUGAAGUGAAUAUAUGAUUAUUUAAUCAAUUUCCUUUAAUCAAAUAUUUGGAUCAUUAUUUCCAAGAUUUUCCUUCAGUAAAUAUAUAUAUUAUCUCCUGGUUUUUAAUGUAAAGAUAUUGUGAUCACCAUAAGUUAUUUUUUAGUGGGCAAAAUGUUACCAAGAGAGGAUUCUGGAAAGAUGGCAAAGUAGUAAAUGCCAAGAUUCAGCACUAGCAGAAUCUGCCUCAUAUAACUAUGUAUUUGGAACUCUGGAGUCUACUGAUGCCUUGCUUACAACUUCCAGGGGAAUACUUGGAAGAUAAAUUUGUGGUGAAUUUCAAUCAAUUUCAACUCUUAGAACAGUAACAGCUAUCUAUCCUUCACCCCCAGUGGCAGGCAGCUGUGCACAGCUUCCCGAAGCAGCUUUAACACAGCUCAUGGGAGUCAGGGUGAGCAUAAAGGACCCUGUCCUCCAAAUAUUGGGAAUCUGUGCUCUGAUUGGUGAUUGCUGCUUCAAAUCACAGAGGUAUAGACAAAGAGGUGGGCAGCCAUUGUUGUUGUCGAACCUUCCCGUUGUUGCAAGCCCCUCCCCCUCCAGCUAGUUACUUCCAGGGAAUUUAAAGGCCUAGUACCCCUUUUUUGCUCCCUUCAUUGUUCUCUUUUCCCCCUGACAGAAUUGAAGGGAAAAAUAGGCAAUUCUACAACAUAGUUGGAGAUGUCAAUACCCUGCUCACAACAAUAGAUAGGACAACCAUUCCAGAAGAUGAUAAGUAAGGAAAUAAAGGACUUAGCACAAUAAACCAACUUCAUCUAACAAACAUACACAGAACACUCUACCCAACAACAACAGCAUACACAUUCUUCUUAAGUGCCUAUAGGACAUUUUUUAGGGUAGACCAUAUAUUAGACCACAAAUUAAGUCUCAAUAGAUUUAAAAAGAUAAAUAUUAUGAAAAGUAUCUUCAAUGGGAUGAAAUUAGGAAUAAAUAACAGAAGGAAAAUUGGAAAAUCCACAAAAUUGUGCCUAUUAAACAACAUACUUUUAAACAAACAAUAGUUGAAAGAAAAAAUCACAAAGCAAAUUAGGAAACAUUUAGAGGUGAAUGACAAACAAAAACACAACAUACCAAAACUUAUGGGACUCAGCAAAAGCAGUGUUAAGGGAGAAAUUUAUAGCCAUAAAAACAUUAAAAAACAAGAAAUAUCUCAAAUCAACAACCUAGCCUUAUAGUUUAAGGAACAAGAAAAAGAACAAACUAAACCCAAAGCUAACAGAAGAGAAGAGAUAAUAUAGA